rnacentral:lncRNA from 1 species
AUAAACAUUCUUAAGCUUUCUUCGGGACUGCAGUUAUUUAGAAGUAAUUUGGUCCUUUCAGACUUUUCAUUAAUAGUGUGUUAGGUCGAUCUGGAUCAGUGCUCAGCCUGGGGCUAAUCAUUUCCGACAGUCAAGGCAAGAACGUUCUGUGUACACUGCCUGCCCAGUGACCUGGGAGUCCUAAGGUCCUCCAGCCUGACUACUGGAAACAGGCGUCAUUACCAGGCUUCCAGUCCCCCGGAACGCUUCUGUCCCAGCAUCUGGUAGCUUCUUGACACGCAUUCAUCCAUCAGUUCUCUACUGAAUACUCCAGAGGGACACUUGAUACAUCUCAGAGGUCCUCUCUCUGUGCGACUCUCUCCUCUCUGACACUCUGCCCCCACAAACUCCAGCUGCCUUGGUCCUCCCAGACUCUCUGCUGUCUCCUCUACCCAGGGAGUCCUCCAGCUCAGCCAGCUUCCCCUCCCUCACCAUAGCCUGGCAACUCUCUGAGGCAGUAAGCCGUGAGCAUCGCAAGUCUCCUCCCCUCCUUUGUUUUCUGUCUCUCAGGGAUCACUGUGCUAUGUUGCCUCAAGUCCAGUGCCUGGAAAACUGUUAUUUCAUAUGUGUGUGUGAAAAAAUAUAUAUAUAUGUAUACACACACAUAUCUCUAUAUAAACACACAUGUGUGUGUGUAUUUACGUGAUUUUUUCAGUUGUUGCAGAUGGGAUGGCAAAGCCAAAAUCCAGUCCCUUUUGCUCUGUCUUUGGUGGGAGGGAACGUCCUUAAGGAUCGCUUGAAGUACAGGCUCCUUUUUCCAUCACUCAGAACAGAAGCAUGGCCAGCAGAGGUCGGCAGCAGGUCAGCUACUUCAGCUGGGGAUCUGGGAUCUGCUGUCACCUGCCAGCUCCUUGGUGCUAGACCCCGACAGCCCUUCUCCCUCUCUGGGCCUCACUCUCCCCUCCUUUAGAAGCCUGUAGACGCAGAGCAGCUGGGCUGUCUCCCUGAGCUUCCUCUACUUUUGGUCUGGUCUUUCCCAUGAUCAGUAGGGUCACAAACCACAACUUCACAUCAAGAGACUGCCUGUCCCUUCCCGCGUGGUCUUGUGGAUUCUGCGUGAAGCCCUGUGUGUCCGGGAUGGGAUGGGGACACUAAACUGCCCUAGACCUCCUACUUUUAUGAGGCCCUCCGGUAGAAAUGGCCCCUGACACGGGGCACUCAGACCCCCUACAUGACCCAACCAUGGCGCUUCCUUCCUCAGAGGUGGAGGGCCCUGACGGAGCCCUCUCCCAGCUUCCCCUGGCCAAGUUCUUCCCUCCGGACAACCCCACCCACCAGAUGCUGGAGCGGAGCCUGCGGGAGGAGGAGCUGCGAGCACAGCACCAGGCCGCGCUGCUGCGCCUGCGAGAGAUGGCGCUCCAGGAGAAAACGCUCGCGGAGCUGGCCUGGCUGGAGCAUCGACGAGGGUGCCUGGACAGCAAGAGGGACAGAGCUGUGCUGGCCGCGCUGGUUGAGAAGCAGCAGCAAGCCCUCAGCAGAUUGGAGAAGGAGCAGAGGGAAAUCCAAUACCUGAGACACACGCAGCUGUUCAGGCACCGGGACAGGAAGCUGCUUCUGCAGCAUCAGAGGGACGUCGUCUCCAUGCCGGGGCCUGUGGACAUCCUCCCCAUCCCGGGGCCCACGGACGUCGUCCCAGCGCACGAGCUGCAGGCCCAGGCCAAGCUGCAGCAGGUUCCAGCCCCAAAGUCAAGGCCGCCUGGGAGGGAGGCUCAGAGACAAGCCAGCAGCCAGAGGCCUCCCUGUGUCCCCUGACCCCAUGCAGGCCCAGCAGCUCCACCAGCCAUCGCCCCCAGAGCAGCCCCGCAAGCUCAAAGGCCACGCGCCCUCCCACUGAGCAGCAGGAUGUGACGCCACCCCAGACAACCUCCGAUGCAGAUGGUCACCAGCAGCCUCCGAGGCCAGCAUGGGGCGAGGACACACACGACCCCCAGGGCCCGCUGGUGGAGAGUGGCAGCCAUGUCAGUCAAAGCCUGGGGAGCAGCCUCGGGCCCCUCUGCUGGGCCUGCAGCACGUGAGCCCCCCGGACGGACAGCGGCUGGGCCCAGCCUUUCCCGUACGCACUCUCCCUGGAAGCCCUUUCCCCAGCACCGCCUGUUUCAGGGACCACCCCCCCCCAACAUUCUGCCAAUCUGUGACUUGAUCUUCAUCUUGGUACCCUCCCCCCCAACAUUCUGCCAAUCUGUGACUUGAUCUUCAUCUUGGUUGGGGCCCCUUGGUUCCUGUGGCCGGUCCUUGGUUCCUGCAGUGGGUCCCUGUUUGUCCCUGCCUGUCCCCAUCUGUCCCUGUCCGCCCCCGGCUGUCCCCAUCCACCCCAGUCUGUCCCCAUCUGUCCCCAUCCAUCCUGGUCUAUCCCUGGCCCUUGGUGCCCUCCCUUCAGGGCCCUGUGCCAUGUCCACUCCCGUCUCACCCCCCAGGCCGAGGAGGCGGAGGGGCGCCUCCCCACAGCUCAGUGCAGGUCUCGGGAGGUGAAGGAGCCACCCCCAGGUAAGCACCCUGGAAACACCGCGUGGGCCUCCACGGCGCCAGACACUUCCCCCACAUCCAGCAGAGCCUGUCCGAGGCUGGAGCUCAGCCACUGGACAAGGACGGAAAGCAAAGAAGAUGGGCCCUGGUGGCCCCCCACCCUGGCCUCAGACCCCUUCACUGCAAGAAGAGUGGCCGGCUCCAUCUCCUACCGGAGGUGACGCAGCGGCUCUUCUGGAGAAAUUAAAAGUCAUAACUGGCUGGGAUUGUUUUAGUCGCAACUUCGUUCAUCUGGGGCAGAUUUUUAAGUGUUUGGAAGCCAGCACUGCCUGAGCGUCUUCAGCUGACGGAGGUUUCUGCACCGAUUACAUUUUUCUCUUUCUGAACCUUACACUUGGCCGGGGCCCCCCCCGAGAGCCAAGUCCCCAAUUUGCAGGUGGGGCGGGAGCAGAUGCACUCACAGUGUCAGGGAACCCUGGUGGUGCGUCUGGUAGCCGCCGGCUGAAGAGUGGGGGGUUGUGUGCCCUGCGAUGCCACCUCGGAGCUCCCUGACCAGCCCUGGGUGCCGAAUUCAGAAGGCCCCCACCCAGUGUCCAUCCUCGGAAGCAGGGAGACUAUGCCACCCAAGGGGGGUGGCAUAGACUGGGGGGUCCCUGCCGUUGGGGCCAGGGAGAGCAAACCUCAGGACAGAUGGGUUGAGACGGAAAGAGAUCAGAAGCACUUGUGGGGCUGCCCAGGAGAGCGUGGCUGGUGGGGCUCCCUGGAGAGGCCAGUGACACUGGGAGGCGGAGUGAAUACAGAGCGCUUUCCCUCUGUGUCCCGCGUCACCUCCGGGCCUGCGCUGUUCAGGCUUCUGCGGCCACCGUGAAGCUUGCUCAGCCUGAAGCCUCCCUCGCCGCAUGGCCACGUGUACCAGCUGUCACCGUUCGGGGGGCCAGCCAGGCGCCUGCACCCACCAUGGGUCCUCGUUGCCUCUGGAGGUGGAUUCACUCGUUAUGCCCACGCAGCAGAGGAGGAGCCUGAGGCCUGACUUAUGUUCUCACGUGGUCUAGGGUUCACCCUGAGUCUGCCUGACUGCGGUGCCGGCCGCUCUCUGAUCAAAAGACUGCGCUUGCAGGGGCUCCCUGGGUGACGCCCCAUUGUGGUCGCUGGGGUCACCCGGAGCCACGGACAAGAGGGCAGGUGUUCCCACUGAUGGAGCUUCCCCCUCCUUGGGCUUUAGACAAACAGCUCUGGUUCCCUUAGCCAGGUGGCCUUGGCUCUCAGAGUCCCCUGACCCCACAGAACGAAAGUCUAGGGAGAUGGAGGUGCAAUGCUGGGGGGCCUGGUGCUCCUGGGGAGGGCUCUGCGGUGGCCCCACCCGUCCCUUUGUCCCCCUUUGUGAUCCCCGGCGGUGCACUGGUGGCCUUGCUGUGUCCGAGGCCUGCCCCCCACCGGCCCUCUGCACCACCCCUGCCUCACACCAGUGUCUGUCGGACGGCACCGAGGGGGAAGAACAAGCUCUGGCAAAAGGUUUCCCCCAAGGGAGGGAAAGAGGCC